CGGAAUUCGAUCCCGAUAAGAUCAAGACUGCGUCCACUGCUGCCGAAGGCUUGUGUCAAUGGUCAUUGCGAUGGAUCAAUAUGAUAAUAAUCACAUACAUCAGAUUAAACUCAAGACCGGAUUUAAGGUAAAUUUUCGACAAGAGAAAGCUCCACAAAUCCUGCAAACAAAUUAUUCCUGCGGCGACAAUGCAAAUAUGUGGCAUCCAUAACAACUUAAAUCUCAACGUAGUUACGGCCAUAAAGGUAAAGAAGAAUGUUUGUACAAGAUGAUAAACGACUUCAGGACGUCUUUUCAACGAAUACCAGCAUUAAAGGCAGUCGAUAUGAACAAGGUGAUAACUAGUGAUAUACUGACAUCGAUAUCUGCGUACCGUCUCCAAAACAGAAUAACGCCAUUGGUAUUUUUCGUUCUCAUUGCUCAUAAUACCGACAUUUAAACAUUGCAUCGAAAUAGAAAUACAAUUGAAAUUAAUCAUAGUUUAACAAUACUAAAUAUAUAUUACCUUAACAAUUUUUGUUAAAUUAAUACUACUUUAAUCUUUUUAGUUCCACAUGAUAUCAUGAUAUCAGAAUGCAAUAACAGUGCCUGCCAUAACUCAAUGUAAAUUUUAAGUAGAUUUUUCUUUGUCUUUGGUGACCCAAUUUACAAUUCAGCAUUUGCAUGACAUUGCCAAAAUUAUGAACACUUUCAAAAGUACCAAGUUUUUGGCUAUGUGCAUGUGUGCAACCAGGCAAUGAUUCAACAAAAAAAUAUCUAACAAAUUGAAAAAUAUAAGUCAAUUGAUUUCAU